UACCAGGCCUACCUCCCUGGCACUACAGAACAUUUUUUAAAUGUUAGAUGAUAGACUUACUAACAAUGACAAUAAGUUAAACAUGCAACAUUGAGAAGCCUAAAAAGAUACUGCAUAAAAGUUCCCAGAAUGUGAAGCUGCAGAAUGAAUCUAACAAUGCCUUGACUUUAGGAAAUUCAUGUUAUGUAUGAAUAGACGAUGAUUCAUCUGUGAAGAAAGACCAUGCGCAA
rnacentral:misc_RNA from 1 species